UUUUUGCCUGAUGCAUGACUAGGGAAUGGCGUUUUACACCUUCUCAUGAGAGGUGGGUCUAAUUAGACAAAGCACUGUGGACUAGUCAAAAAACUCCCAACGGAGGUUGUAAACUCUUAUCUUCCUAUAUUGUGCCACUAACAGUUCAAUGAACCCAUGUUUGCCUGAUGCCCUCCUGAGAACGAGGGUGCGGCUGUUGGUUCUCUGCUUAUCUGCAGUACAAAAGCCAAGUCUCCUCCCAUCUACAAUCUGUUUCUGUUUGGCACCGUGUGUAUAUAAAUAAGGACGGUACUGUGGGUAAACGGCAGGUGCAGCACAAGCUUCUUUCAGAGACAGUUUGCAGCCCGGUUAGAACCAUGAGGUUUUUGAAACUCCUUAGCUUGGUCUUCAUCCUGAUUCUCUGCCUUGAGACCUUUACAACUGAAAGUGCAGGGAUUGCCAGACAUUCCAAGAAGCUUUUCUGUAGAUCUUGCAACAGAAACGAGAUGCCAAGGAAUAAAUAUCAUCCUGGACCAUUACCUCAAGUCUGAAGAAAAGAUGUAUAGACUUGGAUCUCCUUACAGAGUUUGGAAUCCACCCCUUCCCACCCUGCUUUUCACAGUUUUCCUCCAGACACAUCUAUUCAAUUGUUGAAUAUUCAUAAAUUGUACUGACAUUUGAGCUUUCUAAGAAGGUUCCAAACACCCCAUUGGUUGUUCACCAGCAUUCAUCUUCUGAAUAUAUCUGUUGUAUAUGUUGACACACAUCUAUCCCCAUGUGCAGUUCAGCUAAGUUCUGCACUGCACAACCUAGCCUUUCAGGAGAAAGCGGCAGAGGAAAGUCCUUCUUUAAAAGGAAUGAAUGUUGCAACAUGUUCCAGGGAUGUAUACUGAAGCAUUAGGAGGAGGAUACUCUUGAGUCGCAGACUCCUGCAGCCACACUCCAACAGAGGCAUAUAGUCUCCUGAAAACAAGAUUGACACUCUCAGCUGGAAUGUCUUAAGGUGAGAGUGCACAACUUUGAUGGGCUUGAGGUUCAAUUUUGACCUCUUCACCUGGGCUGGGACCCACAGUUAGCCGCUCCUUCUACAAAAUGUUGAGAAGAAAUGUUCCUCUCCCCUGCCCAACCAAACCAAAAGGCACUGGGAGUUCACUUCCAAUUUUUUACUCCCUCCCCUUCCUUUUGUUCAUGUUAUUGUG
rnacentral:lncRNA from 1 species